rnacentral:rRNA from 1 species
AGUGAACGCUGGCGGCAGGCCUAACACAUGCAAGUCGAACGGCAGCACAGUAAGAGCUUGCUCUUACGGGUGGCGAGUGGCGGACGGGUGAGGAAUACAUCGGAAUCUACUUUUUCGUGGGGGAUAACGUAGGGAAACUUACGCUAAUACCGCAUACGACCUACGGGUGAAAGCAGGGGAUCUUCGGACCUUGCGCGAUUGAAUGAGCCGAUGUCGGAUUAGCUAGUUGGCGGGGUAAAGGCCCACCAAGGCGACGAUCGGUAGCUGGUCUGAGAGGAUGAUCAGCCACACUGGAACUGAGACACGGUCCAGACUCCUAAGAGAGGCAGCAGUGGGGAAUGGUGGACAAUGGGCGCAAGCCUGGUCCAGCCAUACCGCGUGGGUGAAGGAGGCCUUCGGGUUGUAAAGACCUUUUGUUGGGAAAGAACAGCAGCAGGUUAAUACCCCGCUGUUCUGACGGUACCCAAAGAAUAAGCACCGGCUAACUUCGUG